rnacentral:rRNA from 1 species
GACGAACGCUGGCGGCGUGCUUAACACAUGCAAGUCGAACGGAAAGGCCCUGCUUUUGUGGGGUGCUCGAGUGGCGAACGGGUGAGUAACACGUGAGUAACCUGCCCUUGACUUUGGGAUAACUUCAGGAAACUGGGGCUAAUACCGGAUAGGAGCUCCUGCUGCAUGGUGGGGGUUGGAAAGUUUCGGCGGUUGGGGAUGGACUCGCGGCUUAUCAGCUUGUUGGUGGGGUAGUGGCUUACCAAGGCUUUGACGGGUAGCCGGCCUGGGAGGGUGACCGGCCACAUUGGGACUGAGAUACGGCCCAGACUACUACGGGAGGCAGCAGUGGGGAAUAUUGCACAAUGGGCGGAAGCCUGAUGCAGCAACGCCGCGUGCGGGAUGACGGCCUUCGGGUUGUAAACCGCUUUCGCCUGUGACGAAGCGUGAGUGACGGUAAUGGGUAAAGAAGCACCGGCUAACUACGUG